UACAGAGGUCUCAAGCGUUGUUCGGAUUCAUUGGGCGUAAAGGGUGCGUAGGCGGCGCGGUAAGUCGGGUGUGAAAUCUCGGAGCUUAACUCCGAAACUGCAUUCGAUACUGCCGUGCUUGAGGACUGGAGAGGAGACUGGAAUUUACGGUGUAGUGGUGAAAUGCGUAGAUAUCGGGAGGAACACCAGUGGCGAAGGCGGUUGCCUGGGGCUUUGCUGACGCUGAGGCGCGAAAGCGUGGGGAGCGAUCCGG
rnacentral:rRNA from 1 species